rnacentral:rRNA from 1 species
AACGCACCUUGCGCUCCUUGGUAUUCCGAGGAGCAUGCCCGUUUGAGUGUCGUGAUAUCAUCAAGCCGACCCCUCCUUUACUGGUGGGGGUUACGCUUGGACUUGGAUGUGCUGCCGGACGGCGACGCCCGGCUCAUCCCAAAUGCAUUAGCUGGAUUUAUUCCUGGCUUGGACUUUUGUUCUCACUCGGCGUGAUAAUCUAUGACCGCUGAGGACAUCUCUCGGGAUGGCCAAGCCUGCCUUGAACUGCUUCUAACUCAUCAUUUCAUGAUAUUUUUCAACUUUGACCUCGAAUCAGGCGGGACUACCCGCUGAACUUAA